GGCCGGUUAGCUCAGUCGGUUAGAGUUUGGUGCUAAUAACUCUAAGUUCAAGGGUUCGAUCCCCGUACGGGCCA